rnacentral:lncRNA from 1 species
AAAAACAUCUCAAAUAAAUCAAAACAAUUCAACGUAUUAAUCUAACUUGUCACCCCCGUGUGACCAAAACUCUUUUCAGAAAGAACACUGUUAAUCCUUUCUAAUGCGCACAACAAACCAAUGCUUAAGCCUCCACCGAGAGUAGACAAGCCAACGUUUAGCCUUUAGGAUGCGAUCUAAACAGUCGUUCAUUAAAAGACACCAAC